AUUGAACGCUGGCGGCAGGCCUAACACAUGCAAGUCGAGCGGAGCGGCGGACGGGUGAGUAAUGCCUAGGAAUCUGCCUGGUAGUGGGGGAUAACGUCCGGAAACGGGCGCUAAUACCGCAUACUAUCAGAUGAGCCUAGGUCGGAUUGGCUAGUUGGGGGGGUAAAGGCCUACCAAGGCGACGAUCCGUAACUGGUCUGAGAGGAUGAUCAGUCACUGUGGAACGGAGACAGGGUCCAGACUCCUACGGGAGGAACCGGGGGGGAAUAUGGGACAAUGGGGGAAAUCCGGAGCCAGCAAGGCCGCGUGUGUGAAGCAGGUCUCGGGAUGGUAAAGCAUUUUAAGUUGGGAGGCGUUACCAACAGAAUAAGCACCGGCUAACUACGUGCCAGCAGCCGCGGUAAUAC
rnacentral:rRNA from 1 species